rnacentral:rRNA from 1 species
UGGGGAAUCUUGCGCAAUGGGGGAAACCCUGACGCAGCAACGCCGCGUGGGUGAUGAAGGCCUUCGGGUCGUAAAGCCCUGUCAGGUGGAAAGAAACAUAUCGGUGCUAAUAUCGCCGAUGUUUGACGGUACCGCCGGAGGAAGCACCGGCUAACUCCGUGCCAGCAGCCGCGGUAAUACGGAGGGUGCAAGCGUUGUUCGGAAUUACUGGGCGUAAAGCGCGUGUAGGCGGUCGGGCAAGUCAGAUGUGAAAGCCUUCCGCUUAACGGAAGAAGUGCAUUUGAUACUACCCGGCUGGAGUACGGGAGAGGAGAGUGGAAUUCCCGGUGUAGAGGUGAAAUUCGUAGAUAUCGGGAGGAACACCAGUGGCGAAGGCGGCUCUCUGGUCCGAUACUGACGCUGAGACGCGAAAGCGUGGGGAGCAAACAGGAUUAGAUACCCUGGUAGUCCACGCCGUAAACGAUGGGCACUAGGUGUAGGAGGUAUUGACCCCUUCUGUGCCGAAGUUAACGCAUUAAGUGCCCCGCCUGGGGAGUACGGCCGCAAGGCUA